AGGACUUCCAGGGAGAAUCCUGACUACAAAAACUGCCCCAUUCUCUCACGAGCUCUCUAAAUGGUGGCUUCUGUGCCAUCUGUGCACCUGCAUGAUCCUCGCACUGCUUUCCGUGGCUACCUGAUACUGAUGCAAUUACAGCCCUUCAGCAAGACGCCUCAGGGAUGGCAGAUACUGACAGAGAGACGACCAAAAGACAGAAAACCCAAAAGCACUAAAGUCAGCAGAGGGGCCAGACAUCUCAGAAAAUGGGCUUCACCUGCUUUACAGAGAG